UUAUUUUCGUUGAUUGGGAGAGUAACUGCACUUGACUUUAGUCCAAGCGAGCCGGGAUGGUGGAAACCGGUACAAAGUCGGCCGUGAAGCGGACCCAGGAGAUGGCCUUCCGAAGCAGCAUGCUGUAGGGAGCCCCGGCUUACGCCGUUAUCGUAUGAAGGUGGUUAGACCCUUGCGGGGUUUAACAACAAGAGUGGUACCGCGAGCACAAGUCCUCGUCUCUUUA
rnacentral:ncRNA from 1 species